GUGGGGAAUUUUGGACAAUGGGCGAAAGCCUGAUCCAGCCAUGCCGCGUGCAGGAUGAAGGCCUUCGGGUUGUAAACUGCUUUUGUACGGAACGAAAAGACUCUGGUUAAUACCUGGGGUCCAUGACGGUACCGUAAGAGUAAGCACCGGCUAACUACGUGCCAGCAGCCGCGGUAAUACGUAGGGUGCAAGCGUUAAUCGGAAUUACUGGGCGUAAAGCGUGCGCAGGCGGUUAUAUAAGACAGAUGUUAAAUCCCCGGGCUCAACCUGGGAACUGCAUUUGUGACUGUAUAGCUAGAGUACGGCAGAGGGGGAUGGAAUUCCGCGUGUAGCAGUGAAAUGCGUAGAUAUGCGGAGGAACACCGAUGGCGAAGGCAAUCCCCUGGGCCUGUACUGACGCUCAUGCACGAAAGCGUGGGGAUCAAACAGGAUUAGAAACCCUAGUAGUCC
rnacentral:rRNA from 1 species